GGUGGGUGUGCCCCCGGAUUCCGGCCCGGUCUUGAAAACCGUCGUGGUGGCGACAUCACCGUGGGUUCAAAUCCCACACCCUCCGC
rnacentral:tRNA from 1 species